rfam:Arabis alpina cultivar Pajares scaff_66491_1_contig_0, whole genome shotgun sequence.
UAAGCGUGCUUGGGCGAGAGUAGUACUAGGAUGGGUGAUCUCCUGGGAAGUCCUCGUGUUGCACCCC